rnacentral:rRNA from 1 species
UAGGGAAUCUUCCGCAAUGGACGAAAGUCUGACGGAGCAACGCCGCGUGAGCGAUGAAGGCCUUCGGGUCGUAAAGCUCUGUUGUUAGGGAAGAACAAGUACGAGAGUAACUGCUCGUACCUUGACGGUACCUAACCAGAAAGCCACGGCUAACUACGUGCCAGCAGCCGCGGUAAUACGUAGGUGGCAAGCGUUAUCCGGAAUUAUUGGGCGUAAAGCGCGCGCAGGUGGUUUCUUAAGUCUGAUGUGAAAGCCCACGGCUCAACCGUGGAGGGUCAUUGGAAACUGGGAGACUUGAGUGCAGAAGAGGAAAGUGGAAUUCCAUGUGUAGCGGUGAAAUGCGUAGAGAUAUGGAGGAACACCAGUGGCGAAGGCGACUUUCUGGUCUGCAACUGACACUGAGGCGCGAAAGCGUGGGGAGCAAACAGGAUUAGAUACCCUGGUAGUCCACGCCGUAAACGAUGAGUGCUAAGUGUUAGAGGGUUUCCGCCC